rnacentral:rRNA from 1 species
CCUACGGGUGGCAGCAGUAGGGAAUAUUGCUCAAUGGGGGAAACCCUGAAGCAGCAACGCCGCGUGGAGGAUGAAGGUUUUCGGAUUGUAAACUCCUUUUGUUAGAGAAGAUAAUGACGGUAUCUAACGAAUAAGCACCGGCUAACUCCGUGCCAGCAGCCGCGGUAAUACGGAGGGUGCAAGCGUUACUCGGAAUCACUGGGCGUAAAGAGCGCGUAGGCGGGAUAGCAAGUCAGAUGUGAAAUCCUAUGGCUUAACCAUAGAACUGCAUUUGAUACUGUUAUUCUAGAGUAUGGGAGAGGUAGGUGGAAUUCGUGGAGUAGGGGUAAAAUGCGUAGAGAUCAAGUGGAAUACUCAUUGCGAAGGCGACCUGCUAGAACAUAACUGACGCUGAUGCGCGAAAGCGUGGGGAGCAAACAGGAUUAGAUACCCCAGUAGUC